UGAGUGUAUGACACCUUGGCUGUGCUGUAGCCUCCUGUUGACUAUGUUGUGAGAAAGACAACCUUGGAGAGUUGAGAUUUAA